CUACGGGCGGCAGCAGGCGCGAAACCUCUACAAUGCUGGAAACAGUGAUAGGGGGACUCCGAGUGGUGUCAGCUAAGCUGGCAUCUUUUGCCAAGUGUAAAUAGCUUGGAGAAUAAGGGUGUGGGCAAGACUGGUGGCAGCCGCCGCGGUAACACCAGCGCCUCAAGUGGUACCCACGAAUACUGGGCCUAGAGCGUUCGUAGCCGGUCAGAUAAGUCUUCUGUGAAAUAGUGUGGCUUAACCACACUGCGCGCAGGAGAUACUGUUUGGCUUGGGAACGGGGGAGGUCAGGAGUACGCCCGGGGUAGGGGUAAAAUCCUUUGAGCCUGGGCGGACUACCAGUGGCGAAGGCGCCUGACCAAAACGUGUCCGACGGUGAGGAACGAAAGCUGGGGGAGCGAACGGGAUUAGAUACCCGAGUAGUC
rnacentral:rRNA from 1 species